UACAGAGGUCUCAAGCGUUGUUCGGAUUCAUUGGGCGUAAAGGGUGCGUAGGCGGCGCCGUAAGUCGGGUGUGAAAUUUCGGAGCUUAACUCCGAAACUGCAUUCGAUACUGCGGUGCUUGAGGACUGGAGAGGAGACUGGAAUUUACGGUGUAGCGGUGAAAUGCGUAGAUAUCUGCAGGAACACCCGUGGCGAAAGCGGCGAGCUGGAUCACUACUGACGCUGAAGAACGAAAGCUAGGGGAGCAAACAGG
rnacentral:rRNA from 1 species